GUGGAGCCCCCCGCGUGGAUUAAAAAACUGAAGCCACUCACAACCCAGCGCACGCUCGCUCAUCGUCUCGCUCACCCACGUACCCAGUACCCACAAGCAACGGCUCUUCCAGGCCCACGCCCAUGGGCCAUGGCAGCUUCUCUCUCUCUUGAUGUGCCGCUGGCUGGAAGGGGACGAGCGGACGUCCUGCUCCUCCUGACCAAGUUUGAUGGUGUGUGCGGCCUGCUGAUGGCUCUCGGUGUUUGAGGCAAGACAACAGGAGAGGUGACUAUGCCCCCUCUUUCUCAUGUACAUGGAUUUGCAAUGGCCAAAGUACUUUCUCGAUGAUUUCUUUAGCGAUUUCACUAACAAUCCAUAUUUGGUGAACCCUGUUCUGCUGUUCAGGAGCAUCCGCCCACAACCUGUUUGAUAUUAUGCGUACAAUGGUUCGAGACACAUUCUAAUUUUCUGAUCAAACUCUUACGGUCUUCCCUCUAUAGAAAAUCAAAAUGAAGAAACAAGUGUAUCUGAUGUUGGAUCUGCACCUUCAACAUGUGUACCUCAUGUUCCAAGCUGCCGGUGUUGACGGCUAAAGGGUCCGCGGUUCAUUUGAUUUUGUAUGGGUUAUCCAGUACAAUGCAAUCUACAUUGAAGCCAA